UACGAAGGGGGCUAGCGUUGCUCGGAAUCACUGGGCGUAAAGGGUGCGUAGGCGGGUCUUUAAGUCAGGGGUGAAAUCCUGGAGCUCAACUCCAGAACUGCCUUUGAUACUGAAGAUCUUGAGUUCGGGAGAGGUGAGUGGAACUGCGAGUGUAGAGGUGAAAUUCGUAGAUAUUCGGAAGAACACCAGUGGCGAAGGCGGCUCACUGGACUGGUAUUGACGCUGAGGUACGAAAGCGUGGGGAGCAAACAGG
rnacentral:rRNA from 1 species